rnacentral:rRNA from 1 species
UGGCCAUACCACCCUGAACGCGCCCAAUCUCGUCUGAUCUCGGAAGCUAAGCAGAGUCGGGCCUGGUUGGUACUUGGAUGGGAGAAUAAACUUGAAAUUUCCUGAGAAAUCUCAA